CUGGAAUCGGCUCUUGGAGGGUGCCUGUCUCUUUCUGCUCUCGAUUUGGCUUCCUUAUCACUUUGCAUUGAUUUUCUUCGUAGGACUUCAUUUUAAUCCAAUUUACAGUGCCGGUAAUCUGGGUCUCUUCUUUCAGUCACCCUUAGGUUCAAACCCAUUUGCUUCCCACUGACAACUGACCGACUUUCUCUGCCGAAAUCAUUGUGCUCGCUGGGUCUCUGCCGGGCUGUUCCUUUCCUGGCUGCCUCUUGCUGGUGGCUGGAAGCGAGGGGCUGGGAGAUCGGCGGCAGCAGCAGGGCAGGGGGGACAGGGUCUGCCUCCGGUCCCCCUCCCCAGGAACAGCAGCGGUGGUCGGGCUCUGUCAACACACAUGAAGAAGCACGAACUAACGGGGCGAAGCCAGCACACGGUGGUUAAAAAGGUUUUAAACCGCCCUCAUCUCACCCCCCAAACAGAGGUGGUGAGCGCUCUGCUUUCUGGAGUGAAAUGGUCAAAACGGGCUGCCUUUGGCAGGCGUGAAGCUACUGUGAGAUGGGAAUGCCCUUCUUUCCAGAGUGUCUCUGAGAGGACUCGUGGACACACUCUUAAAAAUGCAGUAAGAAGUAGCUGUGCUUAACGGGGAAGGAGCAGCACGCUGCAGUAUUUUCUGCUGCUGACACUGAACCACAACAACCUCAGCUCUGCAUCUAUCAGGGACCAUUACAGUGCUCUUUCCCUAGUGUACAUCCCUCUUUUGUCCACUUGCCAACCGGCUUAACCUUUCAUCAGCAAAUAAUUUUCACUUAAUGAGAAUUUACUCUGAAGUGCAUUUUCCCUCAGGAGCACAGGUUCCCCCUCUGUCCAGCGGGAGCCUCGCCAUGCAGAUUGCAGCAGUUAUCGGGGCACGAUGAGCCUCAGUGCAGGUAUUGAUUUGUCUCGGGCUGCUGUCUAGACCACCAUUUGCAUUGAGCCAUUACACACACACGCACACAAAGCUCUGCCUUCGUUUUUCAGCGGCUGCUUGCUUCAUAUAUAGUGGCAUGAACAGGCUCAUGGAGCCUGGUCUGCUGGGCUCAGCCUCUGAAGCUGUGGCACCGCUAACGUGUGGGGACGCAGCCAGUGGGGGCACGGAGGGGGCUGUAAUGGGCUGUCACAUCCCACAGGCUGCGAGGGCUUAUUUUUAGAUCAGUGCAUCAGGCACACAUGUUUGAGUGGUGGGAACUUGCUCACAUCUGCUCCUUUUUGAAGAGACUUUUGGCAGCUCCGUGUGGCCCAGCCACAGUGCCUGCUCUGGGGACAUGGUGCCCGGGAGGCAGGAAGGGGAAGGAUGGAAGGAGGGAAAGGAGGGAAGUACAAAGGGGGUCCUGAAGACACCAGGGAUAGAAAUGAUAUAUGUUUAUGACCAGGCAUCUGGUCAUAAACAUGGGCAGGGCUGAAAAGCCCAAGUAGCUCUAAUAGGAAAAAGUCACUUAAAUCUACACUGACUGAGAAAAGGAGGAUGAUCAAGAAAGGGAAGGUUAUUUACUGAAUGAGACCUUAAAGGAUCAAAGCUCUCCUCUGCCCUGCUCCUUCGCUCUCCCUACAACCAUUCAGUCCCGUGGUAUUUCUUCCUCUUGCUCAUGGCAGCAGAAGAGAGC
ensembl:lncRNA